AUAGGAAACACAAAGGCAUCUUUUUGUUUUUAAAAGACCUUCUUACGAAGGUAUGCUUAAAGAGGGGCUUGCGCCACAUUAGUUAGUUGGUAGAGUAAAAGCCUACCAAGACGAUGAUGUGUAGCUGGACUGAGAGGUUGAACAGCCACAUUGGGACUGAGACACGGCCCAAACUCCUACGGGAGGCAGCAGUAGGGAAUUUUCGGCAAUGGAGGAAACUCUGACCGAGCAACGCCGCGUGAACGAUGAAGUAUUUCGGUAUGUAAAGUUCUUUUAUUGAAGAAGAAAAAGUAGUGGAAAAACUAUAUUGACGUUAUUCAAUGAAUAAGCCCCGGCUAACUAUGUGCCAGCAGCCGCGGUAAGACAUAGGGGGCGAGCGUUAUCCGGAAUUAUUGGGCGUAAAGGGUGCGUAGGCUGUUAGAUAAGUCUAUAAUUUAAUUUCAGUGCUUAACGCUGUCUUGUUAUAGAAACUGUCUUGACUAGAGUGAGAUAGAGGCAAGCGGAAUUCCAUGUGUAGCGGUAAAAUGUGUAAAUAUAUGGAGGAACACCAGAAGCGUAGGCGGCUUGCUGGGUCUUUACUGACGCUGAGGCACGAAAGCGUGGGUAGCAAACAGGAUUAGAUACCCUGGUAGUCCACGCCGUAAACGAUGAGUACUAAGUGUCGGGGUAAAACUCGGUACUGAAGUUAACACAUUAAGUACUCCGCCUGAGUAGUACGUACGCAAGUAUGAAACUUAAAGGAAUUGACGGGACUCCGCACAAGCGGUGGAUCAUGUUGUUUAAUUCGAAGAUACACGAAAAAUCUUACCAGGUCUUGACAUACUCUGCAAAGCUAUAGAAAUAUAGUGGAGGUUAUCAGGGAUACAGGUGGUGCAUGGUUGUCGUCAGUUCGUGUCGUGAGAUGUUAGGUUAAGUCCUAAAACGAACGCAACCCUUGUCGUUAAUUGCCAGCACAUAAUGGUGGGGACUUUAACGAGACUGCCAAUUAAACAUUGGAGGAAGGUGAGGAUUACGUCAAAUCAUCAUGCCCCUUAUGAUCUGGGCUACAAACGUGAUACAAUGGCUGUGACAAAGAGUAGCUGAAACGCGAGUUUUUAGCCAAUCUCAAAAAAGCAGUCUCAGUUCGGAUUGAAGUCUGUAACUCGACUUCAUGAAGUUGGAAUCGCUAGUAAUCGCGAAUCAGCAUGUCGCGGUGAAUACGUUCUCGGGGUUUGUACACACCGCCCGUCAAACCACGAAAGUUAGCAAUGCCCGAAAGCAGUAGCUUAACUUCGCAAGAAGAGGGAACUGUCUAAGGUAGGGUUGAUGAUUGGGGUAAGUCGUAACAAGAC
rnacentral:rRNA from 1 species